UGGGAAUUUGGACAAUGGGCGAAGCCUGAUCCAGCAAUGCCGCGUGUGUGAAGAAGGCCUUCGGGUUGUAAAGCACUUUUGUCCGGAAAGAAAUCCUUGGCUCUAAUACAGUCGGGGGAUGACGGUACCGGAAGAAUAAGCACCGGCUAACUACGUGCCAGCAGCCGCGGUAAUACGUAGGGUGCAAGCGUUAAUCGGAAUUACUGGGCGUAAAGCGUGCGCAGGCGGUUUGCUAAGACCGAUGUGAAAUCCCCGGGCUCAACCUGGGAACUGCAUUGGUGACUGGCAGGCUAGAGUAUGGCAGAGGGGGGUAGAAUUCCACGUGUAGCAGUGAAAUGCGUAGAGAUGUGGAGGAAUACCGAUGGCGAAGGCAGCCCCCUGGGCCAAUACUGACGCUCAUGCACGAAAGCGUGGGGGAGCAAAACAGGAUUAGAUACCCUGGUAGUCCACGCCCUAAACGAUGUCAACUAGUUGUUGGGGAUUCAUUUCCUUAGUAACGUAGCUAACGCGUGAAGUUGACCGCCUGGGGAGUACGGUCGCAAGAUUAAAACUUAAAGGAAUUGACGGGGUCAUAGCUGUUUCC
rnacentral:rRNA from 1 species